AACUAAAUCUAAACAUUAUAUGAAUGAAUAAAGAAAUUGAUUUUAAGGUAGAAUUUUGGUGACAAAGGCAAAAGUCCUUUUUUUUGCCAAACGGAAAUAGACAAUUUAAAAAAAGAAAAAAAGAAAGCUUUUAAUGAGUUGUAUGUGUCAUGGUUCUCCAUAGAAACAGAACCAACAGGAUAGACAGAGAGAAAGAGACAGAACGAGAAAGGGAGAGAGAUGAUAGGCAAUAUCUGUGUGUGUGUGUGUGUGUGUGUGUAUGUAGUCCAUCUGUCUAUCUUAUCUAUCAUCUCUUUAUCUAUCGAUAUAGAUAGAUAUUUAUGUUAAGGAAUGGGCUCACACAAUUAAGGGAGCUGGCAAGUCUGAAAUCCAUAUAGGCAGGCCAGCAAGCUGGAAACUCAGGGAGGAUUUCUCUGUUACAGUGCUGAGGCAGAAUUUCUUUUCCACAAGAAAGCUAUUUUUGCUUUUAUGGACUUCAUCUUAUUGGAUGAGGCCAACCCACAUUAAAGAGGGUAAUCUCUCUUGUUUAAGGUCAACUGAAUGAAAAAGUUAAUCAUAUCUACAAAAUGCCCUCACAGCAACAUCUAGACUAGUGUUUGACUAAACAACUGUGCACCAUAGCUUAGCCCAGUUGACACAUAAAAUCAACCAUCACAGAAAUAUUGAAGCCAAAGAAGAGGAAAGAAUGUGAAAGGAGUACGGGAAAUCUCCUUGCCCUUGUUCCACAAUUAAAGAGAAGUUAGUCAACUGUGGGGUAACUUUUACAGUCACCCUGGAUUGGGACAUUGAAGGGAACUGAUCUGAAUUAUAAUUAAGGUUUUGCUCCAGAAAACACUCAGCCAAGAGCUGUGGACUCAGGAAACCACGCUUCUUCUUUUCAUCAAUCUCAAAGGAACGUUCUCUUUCUGUAAUUGGUGCCGCCCAGAGAAUUCUCCAGUGUGUAUGGACUGCCUCUGGCCAAGGCUUCCCGGCUGCAUGUGAGGGACGGGAACAGGAGUGCUGUGGCUGUGCCUGGACCCACACUCAUUAAUCAUCCUAAUGAAGUAGAGCCAGUCAUCUUUGUCAAAUCAUUGGUCAAUCAACUAACUGCAAAAUAUCAGAACAAGGUCUUGGAUGGAGUUGAUCAUAUUUUGGACUCGAGGUUGGUGGACAAUGAGAACUGCAUAGUUGCUCGCCAUCCUUCAAUUCAGGAUCCACUUAAGCUUCAGGAGAAAGAGGAGAGGAUGCAAGAAGAAUGGAAGAGAAAGAGAAGGACAAGGAAGUGUGGAGAAGUAGCUUUCUUGCCUAUAUGAAUAAGCAAAAUUAAAGAUGCUACAAGAAUUGGAGCCCUGCCUAGCUCCAACCUCAAAUCCUAUCUAAAAUGGUUCCCACCUGCACCCCCAAAUCCUCCACUUUGACUGGAUUACUGAGCCCACUCACCCAUUGCCUGAUCUGGCCAAUAUUGGUUAAAAUCAAGAAUGCUUCAUCCCAAAUAUAAAUUUGUUCAUCCUUUGAAUAAAAUCAUUCUCAUUCAUUAAA